AUGGAACUGAUGCUUCAGGAAGAUGCCCUGAAUGUCACUGGUGUGAAUCACAAUGAGGUAUUUAAAACGCAGCAGUUCAUUGGGAUUUAUUUUACAAAAAUAACAUUGAAGAUGAGUAAGAAUUACUGUUUCAAUUUGAAGAAUAAACCCCUGUCAACCAAAGCAUGGCAACAGUAUGUUUUUUUCAAAAAAAAAAUCCAUCUUGACUAUGUAAUUUUCCACCCAAAAUAUGACAGAUGGCUUUACUUAAAUAAAUGACUGCACUAUGUAAGAUCAUAGUUGGAAUGCUAUUUCUCCUGGUGCAACUACACAGUUCUGCAGCUCUACAUAUCAAAGGAUUUCACCUUCAGAGGACAUGAGAAUGAAUUGACUAACAGUCAUUAUGUUUUCAAGAUAUACACAAUACUGCUGAGGACUUUAUACGGAUGAAUAAAACCAUUAAGGCGAAGGUUUACGGUGGUCACAGACAGAGGCAUUUCUAAGUCAGGCUCAAAUUUCCGUUGUCGAACCUUACCAUGUUCAGGGUGAAGCUGCAAGAAAUAAGAUACACAUAGAGAAAAAAGGCCAAGUCAGAGAUUUUAGUCUAUUCCUUUCUCUCUCUCUCUCCCCCCCUCACUCGCUCUCUUUUUUUUUUUUUUCCUUUGAGUUUGGUUCCUUAUCAGCUUGUGAAAAGCUGCUGGAAAGUAGGAAAGAUUCUGCUGCCAGGUCUGAACUGCAGGGGUGGAAUUGGCAGCAGUAAAACCAAA
rnacentral:lncRNA from 1 species